rnacentral:rRNA from 1 species
AAAUUGAAGAGUUUGAUCAUGGCUCAGAUUGAACGCUGGCGGCAGGCCUAACACAUGCAAGUCGAACGGUAACAGGAAACAGCUUGCUGUUUCGCUGACGAGUGGCGGACGGGUGAGUAAUGUCUGGGAAACUGCCUGAUGGAGGGGGAUAACUACUGGAAACGGUAGCUAAUACCGCAUAACGUCGCAAGACCAAAGAGGGGGACCUUCGGGCCUCUUGCCAUCGGAUGUGCCCAGAUGGGAUUAGCUAGUAGGUGGGGUAACGGCUCACCUAGGCGACGAUCCCUAGCUGGUCUGAGAGGAUGACCAGCCACACUGGAACUGAGACACGGUCCAGACUCCUACGGGAGGCAGCAGUGGGGAAUAUUGCACAAUGGGCGCAAGCCUGAUGCAGCCAUGCCGCGUGUAUGAAGAAGGCCUUCGGGUUGUAAAGUACUUUCAGCGGGGAGGAAGGGAGUAAAG